rnacentral:rRNA from 1 species
UCUGCCCUCAGGAGGGGGAUAACGGUUGGAAACGACCGCUAAUACCCCAUAUGCCUACUGGUGAAAUGAAUUUCGCCUGAGGAUGAGCUCGCGUCUGAUUAGCUACUUGGUGAGGUAAUGGCUCACCAAGGCUUCGAUCAGUACCUGGUCUGAGAGGAUGAUCAGCCACACUGGGACUGAGACACGGCCCAUACUCCUACGGGAGGCAGCAGUGGGGAAUUUUCCGCAAUGGGCGAAAGCCUGACGGAGCAACGCCGCGUGAGGGACGAAGGCCUCUGGGCUGUAAACCUCUUUUCUCAAGGAAG